GUAGCAUUAUGGAUCUAGUUGGCACAUUGGGAAGGUAAUUUUUCUUGCAAUUUUCAUUUUAAUUGGGAAAAACGAACACAUUUACGACAGUUAGUUUCAUUAUUUUCGAUUUUUUUAUACCAAGAUGUUCACAGGAUAUUUAAAAACAUUUCGAUGAUUUUUCAGCUAUUAAUGAUAAUUUGACAUUUUUGAUUUUUUUUUUUUUUUUAGUUUUUAUUAUUGAUUUUAUGGGGAUGAAAUUAUUUUGGCCCAACAGAAAUCUGGUAAAUUUAAUACGAGAUUCAUUAUAAGUUAUAUUUAGUGGUUUAAAAAAAAACGUUAAGAGUAAUCUAGUAGUUUUUUUAAUAAGCGUUUUAAGUUCAAUUUUUUUUUAAGAAAAUCAUAAUAAUUACGGGAUUUCAAACUACGUAAAACCGAACUUUGUGCAGAAUCGUAUUUCAUUAGAAAUUAAUUGUUGUUACGUUAAUAUAUAAAACAAAUAUCUCUAAG